rnacentral:misc_RNA from 1 species
GCAGAAAUUCGGGCACCGAAUAGAGGAAGUCGGCUCUGGUUAGGUACAUUUCCAACUGCCAUUGAUGCCGCACUUGCUUAUGAUGAAGCUGCAAGGGCCAUGUACGGCACUUUAGCUCGCCUGAAUUUUCCCAAUAUCUCAAUUCCAACCUUGCUAAAAGAAAAGGAAUCACCAACUAAGGAUUCUCCUGAAAUCAAGAGGUCUUCAAUCUCCUUUCUAGGGUCAACUUCACUGUGUCUUAGUUCCGAAUCCACAAUAACAUCAGAUCACUCAGAGGAUUGUGCAGUUGAAGAUGUCUAG